rnacentral:rRNA from 1 species
AGAGUUUGAUCAUGGCUCAGAAUGAACGCUGGCGGCGUGCUUAACACAUGCAAGUCGAGCGAGGCCUGGGGGGCAACUCCCAGAGUCGAGCGGCGGACGGGUGAGUAACACGUGGGUAACCUGCCCGGAAGUGGGGAAUACCUCGGGGAAACUCGAGCUAAUACCGCAUGACAUCUUUGGGACGAAAGUCCCGACGAUCAAAGCGGGGUCGCAAGAUCUCGCGCUACCGGAUGGGCCCGCGCCCGAUUAGCUAGUUGGUGAGGUAACGGCUCACCAAGGCUUCGAUCGGUAACCGGCCUGAGAGGGCGAUCGGUCACACCGGAACUGAGACACGGUCCGGACUCCUACGGGAGGCAGCAGUGGGGAAUCUUGCGCAAUGGGCGAAAGCCUGACGCAGCAACGCCGCGUGGAGGAUGAAGGCCCUUGGGUUGUAAACUCCUGUCGGCUGGGAAGAAAUUGUGUGGUGCUCAUACCAUCGCGCAUUGACUGUACCAGCAAAGGAAGCCCCGGCUAACUCUGUGCCAGCAGCCGCGGUAAUACAGAGGGGGCUAGCGUUAUUCGGAAUUAUUGGGCGUAAAGGGCGCGUAGGCGGCCAUGCGUGUCUUCCGUGAAAUCCCUCGGCUUAACUGAGGACGUGCGGAAGAAACUGCAAGGCUCGAGUCCGGGAGAGGGGGGUGGAAUUCCCAGUGUAGCGGUGAAAUGCGUAGAUAUUGGGAGGAACACCGGUGGCGAAGGCGGCCCCCUGGACCGGUACUGACGCUGAGGCGCGAAAGCGUGGGUAGCAAACGGGAUUAGAUACCCCGGUAGUCCACGCCGUAAACGAUGGGCACUUGGUGUCGCGGGUAUCGACCCCUGCGGUGCCGAAGCUAACGCAUUAAGUGCCCCGCCUGGGGAGUACGGUCGCAAGGCUGAAACUCAAAGGAAUUGACGG